AUUGAACGCUGACGGCAGCCUUCACACACCCAAGUCGGGCGAGCGGCGGACGGGUGAGUAAUGUAUGGCGAUCUGCCUGAUGGCGGGGGAACACUACUGGAAACGGUAGCUAAUACCGCACACCCUCAGAUGAACCCAUAUGGGAUUAGCUAGUAGGUAAGGUAACGGCUUCCCUAGGCGACGAUCCCUAGCUGGUCUGAGAGGAUGAUCAGCCGCACUGGGCAUUAGACACGGCCCAGACUCCUACGGGAGGCAGCAGUGGGGAAUAUUUCACAAUGGGUGCAAGCCUGAGGCAGCCAUGACGAGUAUAUGAGGCAGGCCUUCGGGUUGUAGAGUACUUUCAGGCGGUAGGCGUUUCCGGCAGAGGAAGCACCGGCUAACGCCGUGCCAGCAGCCGCGGUAAUUC
rnacentral:rRNA from 1 species